CUUGCUCUCCUUCUCCCCAUGGUAAAGAUGUGCUUGCUUCCCCUUCAUCUUCUGCCAUGAGCGUAAGUUUCCUGAGGCUUUCCAGCCAUGCUUCCUGUACAGCCUGUGGAACUGUGAGUCAAUUAAACCUAUUUUCUUCAUAGAUUAUGCAGUCUCCGAUAGUUCUUUAUAGCAGUGUGAGAAUGGGCUAACAUAGACAGCAAUCCAGGAAGCCCAUAAAAUAAGAUGACAGGAGCAGAGUCUAGACCAGGUAGACCAGCCAGACAAUGGAGGGGAUUUUUCCUUGUUGCCUGUUGACUUGGAGAACAGCGUACCUUGGGAUUUUCAAACUUUUUUGGAAACUUGAGUUCCUGAGAGGAUCCUGGAGGCAAUGGCAGGGUUCAAGUCCCCACUGACUCUGUUUUGACCUCCUUUCACAAAUCUCUCCCAGAAGAUUUUAUUAGGAGGAUAUGUUUUGCAGCUAAAAAAAAAAAGUUUGAAAAACCCUAUGUUUUGAAGUCAGGCUGCAUAUGUUCACAACCCUGCUCAGCCACAAAGCUGUGUGGCUUUGGGUAAAUUACUUAACUUCUCUGAAUGACUUAAAUUCUUAGUUUCCUAAUCUGUAAAAUGGAAAUAAUAAUUGCACUGACCUUCCAGUUGUUUUGAAGAAUGUGGCAGAUUGUGUUUUUCAAAGAUGGUCAUAACCACAUCUCUCAUUCCUUAUGCCCUUGUAGAAUCUCACCAUUUUCUCAUCAAGAAGUUGAGUGGAAGUUCCCUCUCCUUGAACUUGGGUGGGCAUUUGAAUUGCCUCAAUCAGCAGAGUAGCAUGGAGGUGAUGCUAUGACUUCUGAGGUUAGGUCAUGACAAUGCCAUGCACUUGUGCCUGGUUCUCCUAAGUUACUCCUUCCCAGAACCUGGCUGCCAUGUUGUGAGGAAGCCCAAGAAGCCCAUGGAGAGGAAUGGAGACCCACCCCCAUGCCCCCAGUGGAUAGCUCCUGCUGAGCUCCCAGCUAACAGCUAAAACCAAUUUGCCAAUCAUGUGAGUGAGCUAUUUUGGAGGUGGGUUCUCUGCCCCACAGUUAAGUUGUCUCAGCUGAUGCCAUGUGGAGCUGAGAUGAGCUAUCCCGCUGCACCCUGCAUAAAUUACAGAUUAUGAUUGUUGUUGCUUUAAGGCACCAUGUUUUGGGGUAAUCUGUAAUACAGCAGUAGAUUACUGGAACAAGGAAUAGGUAAGAUAAUGCACAUGAAGUGCUUAGCACCGGACUAGGUGCAUUAGAAGCACUUUUUACACAGGAGAAAUUGAGCACAGAGACAGCGAUGGUUUGGCCCAAGGUCACACAGCUACUGGACAUGUUUUCCCGCUACUGCUUCUGCUUCUUCUCUGCAUGGAGGUAGUGAGGAUGUGACUGUUGAGUUCUGAGCUGAUCCCAGGGCUGGGGGACUAGCUCCUCUCCCCGAAGACUGGCACCCAUUGCUGAGAGCAGGGUUUAUCAACCAGAUCUGGGUAUUUCCAGACAAGCUUGCUGCAAGUCACCUCCUCCCUGCCUCUUCCCUCCCAGGCCCUCAAUGGCUGCCCCAGGAAGGUGGGGAAAAGUGGUUCGACUGGGCAUUGGCAAGUGAAGGGCCCUGGAGGCGGGGAGGGGGCAUCUCCUGGCACCAGCCCCUGCUUCCUGUCUGCCUGCAGCUCCUCUUCCCAAGCAUGAGUGGCUUUGAGGGAGGAUCUGGGUGACUCUUUCCUCUAGGCUUUAAUAAUACUGUUAAUUAAGCAGCCAAGAGAAGAACACGGCUGGCGCCAGCGAGGGGACAAUGGUCUGAAAAGGGAACAGAGAGACGCAUCAACAGCUUCCCAUGCAGGGCUUUCAAAAGAGCAGCUGUGGGGAGCAGGCGGGUGGGGGACAGAAGGGACACCGCCAGAGCCGAUCGCAGUGUGGCUGGGCAGGGAGGCGCUGGGAUGAGCCCAUGCCAGCUGUCCAGCUGUGCUUCUCUCUGGCACCCCCUGCCUUCCCAGCUGGACGAGGGCUUCUCUGGAGCUUCUGGACAGGCUGGAUGAAACAGGCAGCCAGAGGGCACCAGCUGGUCCACCCAGACCCCCCAUGACACCUUAUUUUGCCUCCAUUUCCUCAUCUACAAAAUAGAAGGGUUGAACUAGUUUGCAUUUCUUCUUAUGUGCUGAUCUCAAUAGAAGGUGACUACUUGGAACGUUGACUUGAGAAUUUAGAAGCCGAAUCAAUGCUCCACGGAGAAGCAUGCUGGGAUUGAUUUGUGAUGUCUGCCACGAAUAUAAGAUUGGCCAUUUGGGGCAUGAAUGCUAUUCAUGGAUUGGAUCUCCUAAGAGCCCGAAUUUCUGAGAAACCACUGAAGACCUGACCCCAGCGCUUAAUUAUUUCUCCUUUCCAAGCAUCUCUCAUGGAAGGCAUCUUGGAUGAAAAGACCUUUGGCAGCGUGGGUUUUGCAGGGACCGUCUGGUACCAGGAACUGGCCAAAUGUGAAGGUGUAAAACACAAAGUUCACACCCUGAAGAACCUUCUAGUCCAGUCGGGGAGAUGGACCCAGAAUGUCAGAUUAAGAUUGGCCUGCAUCAGCCCAAAUGGUUCCAUGUUCUUCUUUUUAAUGGCUGCAUAGUACUCCUUUGCAUGGAUGCACCACAGUUCAUUUAACCAGAGUCCUGUUGGCAGGCAUUUCAGAUGUUUGCAAUUUUUCUGUGAGACCAACACCACUGUGAUCAGCAUCCUGUUGCUGUGUGAAAAGUCCAGGCUAGCCUGCUGGAGGAUGAGUGAUGGGUGAAGCAGAGAUGAAUUUUCAGAGCUGGCUUCAUCUGAGACCAGCCAGCCCUAGCUGUGGAAGGCAGACACUUAGCAAACCCAGCCAAGAUCAGCCAAGCCCAUCCCAGGGCAGAAGAACCACCAAGCUGAUCCCAGUCCACAUCUACUUCUGGAAGCACGUGCUAAAUAAAUGGUUGCUGUUUUAAGCCACUGAGCUAUGGGAGGCUUUGUUUCCCAGCAAUAACUAAUUGAUAAAUCAUCAACAGUAAAAUGGAUAAAUGAAUUGUGGUACAGGCACAC
rnacentral:lncRNA from 1 species